AAACUAUUUUCAGUUUCAGGCGCAAUAAGCUUAAAAGGGAAUCCUGUUAAACUCAGGAGCGGUCCCGCCGCUGUAAUCCUGAUUUCUCUGUCAGAAAUAAGCGCCUUUACCGGUAACAUGCCACUGUUCAUAUCUGGAUGGGAAGGCUGGUAAAGGUCAGGAAAGCCAGAAGACCUGCCUGUACUAAUAGUAGUAA
rnacentral:ncRNA from 2 species